rnacentral:rRNA from 1 species
UGACCUACGGGAGGCAGCAGUGGGGAAUAUUGCACAAUGGGCGCAAGCCUGAUGCAGCGACGCCGCGUGCGGGAUGGAGGCCUGCGGGUUGUAAACCACUUUUGUUCAAGGGCAAGGCACGGUCUUUGGCCGUGUUGAGUGGAUUGUUCGAAUAAGCACCAGCUAACUACGUGCCAGCAGCCGCGGUAAUACGCAGGGUGCAAGCGUUAUCCGGAUUUAUUGGGUGUAAAGGGCUCGUAGGCGGUUCG